rnacentral:rRNA from 1 species
GACGGAGGGUGCGAGCGUUGUUCGGAAUCACUGGGCGUAAAGGGCGCGUAGGCGGCUGCGCGUGUCGGGUGUGAAAGCCCGGGGCUCAACCCCGGAACGGCACCCGGGACUGCGUGGCUGGAGACCGGGAGAGGAGGGUGGAAUACCCAGUGUAGAGGUGAAAUUCGUAGAUAUUGGGUGGAACACCGGUGGCGAAAGCGGCUCUCUGGUCCGGUUCUGACGCUGAAGCGCGAAAGCGUGGGGAGCAAACAGG